GAUGAACGCUGGCGGCGUGCCUAAUACAUGCAAGUCGAGCGAACGGACGAGAAGCUUGCUUCUCUGAUGUUAGCGGCGGACGGGUGAGUAACACGUGGAUAACCUACCUAUAAGACUGGGAUAACUUCGGGAAACCGGAGCUAAUACCGGAUAAUAUUUUGAACCGCAUGGUUCAAAAGUGAAAGACGGUCUUGCUGUCACUUAUAGAUGGAUCCGCGCUGCAUUAGCUAGUUGGUAAGGUAACGGCUUACCAAGGCAACGAUGCAUAGACGACCUGAGAGGGUGAUCAGCCACACUGGAACUGAGACACGGUCCAGACUCCUACGGGAGGCAGCAGUAGGGAAUCUUCCGCAAUGGGCGAAAGCCUGACGGAGCAACGCCGCGUGGGUGAUGAAGGUCUUCGGAUCGUAAAACUCUGUUAUUAGGGAAGAACAUAUGUGUAAGUAACUGUGCACAUCUUGACGGUACCUAAUCAGAAAGCCACGGCUAACUACGUG
rnacentral:rRNA from 1 species